AGGAUGGUUUAAAGGUUACGUGAUCAAGGACAAAGAGAAAAAAGGAGCAUUUCCUGCAAGCUUUAUAGAGUUAAAGGAAGUCAUCGUCGAAAAGAGAGGAGAUGAGGAGAUCAUAACGUCUUCUGAGAUGCCGCUGGUGAAGGAGGUGACCACCACACU